rnacentral:rRNA from 1 species
UACGGAGGAUGCAAGCGUUAUCCGGAAUGAUUGGGCGUAAAGCGUCCGCAGGUGGCAGUUCAAGUCUGCUGUCAAAGACCGGGGCUUAACUUCGGAAAGGCAGUGGAAACUGAACAGCUAGAGUAUGGUAGGGGCAGAGGGAAUUCCUGGUGUAGCGGUGAAAUGCGUAGAGAUCAGGAAGAACAUCGGUGGCGAAGGCGGGUCUCUGGGCCGAUACUGACGCUGAGGAGCGAAAGCGUGGGUAGCGAACAGG